GUAGUACUCCCUCCGUUCGGAAUUACUUGUCUCGGAAAUGGAUGUAUCUAAAACUGAAAUACAUCUAGAUACAUUCAUUUCCGCGACAAGUAAUUCCGAACGGAGAGAAUACAAA
rnacentral:pre_miRNA from 1 species